UAGGGAAUCUUCGGCAAUGGGGGGAACCCUGACCGAGCAACGCCGCGUGAGUGAAGAAGGUUUUCGGAUCGUAAAGCUCUGUUGUUAAGGAAGAACGAGUGUGAGAAUGGAAAGUUCAUGCUGUGACGGUACUUAACCAGAAAGGGACGGCUAACUACGUGCCAGCAGCCGCGGUAAUACGUAGGUCCCGAGCGUUGUCCGGAUUUAUUGGGCGUAAAGCGAGCGCAGGCGGUUAGAAAAGUCUGAAGUGAAAGGCAGUGGCUCAACCAUUGUAGGCUUUGGAAACUGUUUAACUUGAGUGAAGAAGGGGGGAGUGGAAUUCCAUGUGUGGCGGUGAAAUGCGUAGAUAUAGGGAGAAACACCGGUGGCGAAAGCGGCUCUCUGGUCUGUAACUGACGCUGAGGCUCGAAAGCGUGGGGAGCGAACAGG
rnacentral:rRNA from 1 species